ACUUGUCUGAAAGGGUGGUGGAGUCAGAAGCCUUCAUCCCAUUUAAAACAACUUGAUAUGGCCUUGAGGUCCUGAAACCUUUGGAACUAAUGACCAACUGCUGGAAAGGUCCCAAACUGAGGCCCACAGGAGAGCUGUUGACAGUUUGGAACAAGCUGGAGGGUGGGCUCAGAGUGUGGCAGCCAUACGUGGGUGGUGGGGAGCCCUCAGGAUGGGAUGACGAUCUCCUUAUUAUCUGAAGCUCAUAUUGUACAGUUUGACCUUCUCCGUAACCCUAAGUUUAGAUGUCUACCUAAACCAGUCCAUGAUGUGGAGGUGCCAGUGUUGGA